UACGGGAGGCAGCAGUGGGGAAUAUUGCACAAUGGGCGAAAGCCUGAUGCAGCUAUGCCGCGUGUAUGAAGAAGGCCUUAGGGUUGUAAAGUACUUUCAUCGGGGAGGAAAAAACAAAACUAAUAAUUUUAUUUCUUGACGUUACCCGAAAAAGAAGCACCGGCUAACUCCGUGCCAGCAGCCGCGGUAAUACGGAGGGUGCUAGCGUUAAUCAGAAUUACUGGGCGUAAAGAGCACGUAGGUGGUUUUUUUAAGUCAGAUGUGAAAUCCCUGGGCUUAACCUAGGAACUGCAUUUUGAAACUGAAAUACUAGAGUAUCGUAGAGGGAGGUAGAAUUCUAGGUGUAGCGGUGAAAUGCGUAGAUAUCUGGAGGAAUACCUGUGGCGAAAGCGGCCUCCUAAACGAAUACUGACACUGAGGGUGCGAAAGCGUGGGGAGCAAACGAGGGAUUAGAUA
rnacentral:rRNA from 1 species